UACGUAGGGUGCGAGCGUUAAUCGGAAUUACUGGGCGUAAAGCGUGCGCAGGUGGUCAUGCAAGACAGAUGUGAAAUCCCCGGGCUUAACCUGGGAACUGCAUUUGUGACUGCACGGCUAGAGUGCGGCAGAGGGGGAUGGAAUUCCGCGUGUAGCAGUGAAAUGCGUAGAUAUGCGGAGGAACACCGGAUGGCGAAGGCAAUCCCCUGGGCCUGCACUGACGCUCAUGCACGAAAGCGUGGGGAGCAAACAGG
rnacentral:rRNA from 1 species